GAAAUGCGAUAAGUAAUGUGAAUUGCAGAAUUCAGUGAAUCAUUGAAUCUUUGAACGCACAUUGCGCCCCCUGGUAUUCCGGGGGGCAUGCCUGUUCGAGCGUCAUUUCACCACUCAAGCCUCGCUUGGUAUUGGGCGACGCGGUCCGCCGCGCGCCUCAAAUCGACCGGCUGGGUCUUUCGUCCCCUCAGCGUUGUGGAAACUAUUCGCUAAAGGGUGCCGCGGGAGGCCACGCCGUAAAACAACCCCAUUUCUAAGGUUGACCUCGGAUCAGGUAGGGAUACCCGCUGAACUUAAGC
rnacentral:misc_RNA from 1 species